rnacentral:rRNA from 1 species
GACGAACGCUGGCGGCGUGCUUAACACAUGCAAGUCGAACGGAAAGGCCUGCUUUCCCUUGUGGAUUGCGGGUACUCGAGUGGCGAACGGGUGAGUAACACGUGAGUGAUCUGCCCCCAACUUGGGUAUAAGCCUGGGAAACUGGGUCUAAUUCCCGAUAGGACUGCAGGGUGGUGCCUGUGGUGGAAAACGAUUUUCUAGUGGUUGGGGAUGAGCUCGCGGCCUAUCAGCUUGUUGGUGGGGUAAUGGCCUACCAAGGCGGCGACGGGUAGCCGGCCUGAGAGGGUGGACGGCCACAUUGGGACUGAGAUACGGCCCAGACUCCUACGGGAGGCAGCAGUGGGGAAUAUUGCACAAUGGGCGGAAGCCUGAUGCAGCGACGCCGCGUGGGGGAUGCCGGCCUUCGGGUUGUAAACUCCUUUCGACCGCGAGGAAGCCACCUGGUUGGAAGGGUGGUGACGGUAGUGGUAGAAGAAGCACCGGCUAACUACGUG